CAGCCACCUAACGACGGUGCCUUGACCGUGUUAGUCGAUGAGCGUUGUAACCGGACACCAGCGAGGACGGACCACAGACUGGGUUACCACGACAUCCGCGACGAAGAUACGGGUGUUGAGCCAACCCAAACAUCGAGCUCCACUUCCUCAAGGCUACUCAUAGCAGUGUAUAAAGACUGUCGAUUUUACGACGCAGCAUGCACCUCCACUGGAUCCUUCAUUAGGGUCAACUGCACGUACCAUGAGACCUCUGCUUCUAGUAUUGGCGGUGCUCUUGUGUGGGCUGCUGGUGUCAGGUAAACCAAAUGGAAGCCCUCUAGAUCAGACGGAGUCAUUUAAAAGGCAAGACACUCAAGUUCCCACUGAAUUGAUCGGCCAGCCAAGUGGACCAAACAAAGCUGAAGAAGCACGUUGUCCACCGGAAACUGACUCGCCAGUAAGCGAUGGAAGAAGCGGCAAUUCUGAGACCAAGGAACAAGGCCAGAAGAAGGGUGAAAAUUUAGCGAGGCCAACACGCAACGUUGAGAACGGUAAUCGGGAGGGGCACCUUCCCUCUGAGGACAAAGUUGGACGUUUGAAAGUAAAUCAUACCUUGUUUGGUCCAUACCCUCCUCCCUACUAAGGGACUCCUGGGCCGCUAUGAGCAUUGUUAAUGAAUGUCGAAAGUCCCCAGUUUCCUGAAUUGGGCUUGCUUUCUAAAGUGUAGUCAAGGCGUGGUACGUUUUCCAGCGAUGCUACGCAGCUUCUUCGCUGUUCUUAUGAAAAUGAUUAAAAUAAUAAACUUUGUGCUGCUAUUACUGGUCCUCGAUAUAACCGCCAGGCAAUCUGCGAUAGUCUGUGCUGAAAAUAAA